CUCUCUGUUUGUCUCACCUGCAAAGGGGGGUAAAAUUGUUCUUCCCUCAAUGACACACUACGGGAACUAAAGGUGCUAACAUAGAAUGCUUUACAACCAGUCAUGAACUGACUCCUGAAAGAGAAGCAUCUGGGACCUGCCUAGGACAAGUCUUCCUGCAGAACUGCCAGGGAAGACAGACAGGCAGUCACAAUUUCUGAAGGGAAAAUGGACUAACACAGACAGAUGGAAGUCUCCCACAGUGGUGCCAGGAUGUGUGAUUCUGGGCCUCUCUAUGAGUUCCUGCUCUCCAGGACUCUUUUGAAGACAAAGUCCAGCAGGACAGAAAGGGAUGUCUCAUUAGACAGCAUGCUGAUGGUCAUUGCCAUAUCACAGGCACAAAGCAUUGCCUCUGAUGGCCAAUGAAUCAAGAUUGUUCCUCUCCAGGCCUGAAAGAACAUCAUCAUGUGAAUUGAGCAUAUUCAAGC